AAGACUAUAGACCUGCGGAGUACCUGCGGAAGGAUCAUUAUCGUAUUGUAACAAUUGGGGGGGCCACCGUGGGCUGUCGCUGACCCUUUGAAAGGGGGGUCGUGCACGCCCCCAUAGUGUCAUCCUCAUACAAUCCAACUCACCUCUGUGCAUCACCGCGUGGGUUCCUUUCUGGGUCGAGUCAGACUGGCUCAGAAAAAAGGGGCUUGCGUUUUCCAUACAAAUACCCUUAAAAAUCCA
rnacentral:misc_RNA from 1 species